rnacentral:misc_RNA from 1 species
ACUGCGUCCGACUGUUUAUCCGCCCUCGUCCGAGAUCCUUCUCUCUACGGGUUUUGGAUUCCACUUCCGCUCGAGGUUCCACCCCCCGUGAUAUCGGAGUAGCAGACUUAUCGAGGGCUCGGCAAGCGAGAGCUGAUCCGUGUGGCGCGCACCAGCAGAUCUGUUGUCUCGCUCAAUUCUGAUUCGAGCCUUGGCUUCAGAGGCUGUGUUUGUGUGUGCACGUUGAAAACUACUCACUGCGACUGAACUCCUACGGGGACCAUCGAAGGGCACAAUAACUACAUAACUGUGGAAAAUCUGCUGCAUUUAUCGGGCUUGCGUUUUCUCGCUGUGCGCGUGCCAUCCCCUUUCGCAAUGGCGGACCCUUCAACACCGGCACCACCGACGGAGACCCACUGCGGCCUCCUCGUCUUCGCGCUUCGCGAUGUGCUGAGCCAACUGCCGCUUCCAGCACCCUUCGACGCUUCCGCGGUCUCGGCCAAGUGGCGAUGCGUCCUCGCGCCGACAGCGGAGGCUGGAGCUGGGGCGUCAUCGGAGGACCUCCUCCUCUCCGAAGAAGAGCUCAUGCCGUACCUUGAGGCCGGGGUGCCCGUGCGUGCGAGCAAGAUGCGUGCGGCGGCGGCCCACACCGCGUGUGGUCCAGAUAGUCUACGCUGGCUGACUGACGCGCGUUGGGCUGCGUUCCCCAAGCCGCAGAUUGCUUUACGUCGCGGCUGGGGAGCACCUGGAGUGGACAUGCGCGUGUCCUCCUUUCACAAGAUGAUCUCCUCCUUCGAAGAGGUGUUUCACCACACUCGCGGUGUCGAGGUGCCGCUCAGUCUGCAAGAGCUGGAAGCGGUCGGUGCUGCUACUGCCCUGGUGCCAUGUGACGUCUCGGAAGCGGAGGAGGUGCUGGACCUGCAGCUGUUUCACCGCAGCGAUGGCUGUCCGCCAAUCCCUGUCCUUGGUGAGCGCCUUUUAUGGCCGUCGUUUGUCGCCGAUGGGGCCGUUUGCGACCAGGCCACGUGGGUGUCACAACGGGGCAUGGUGCGGCACUGGCACCUGAACGACUGCGGCGAGUUCGCGAUGCAGGCCGCGCUGCCUUUACCAGUGGAUCACAGCGACGAUGGGGAUGCAAAAGUGGGUCUCUCAGACCCGACACUACGAUCACUUCCGUCGGCGUCGCCUUCGUCAGGGGGCAGCGGCACCACUGCGAUGCGCAUUCGAUCUCUCUUGUAUCCCGAGAGCACAGCAGCAGAAGCAGCAGUGUCGCCAGCGGCCCGGAGUGCCCAUGUGCCGGCAAUGCUGGCCAUCUUCGCGCCGAAAGGCGGAUAUGAUUGGGUGCUGCAUGAUGACGAGGCGAACAUGCGCGGCAAGGUGGUGGCGCUGGACCUCUUCCAAACUCCGGACGAGGCGCUCCCGUGCGAUGCUGCCCUCCUGCCAGUUCUCACGGUUGCAGUUCUUGAAAGCGGUGGGGCGCCGCUCAUCGUUCCGCCAAACCUCGCGCAAACCUCGAUCGCGUUGCGAGACUGCGUUGUCGUCGAGCAGCGCCGCAUCUCAAAUCUGUGGCUCGACGACGUCUCAUACUUUCUCCACCGCUGCGCUCGAUGGCAAGCGAGCCCCAUCAUAUACGCCUACCUUCAGCAAGAUCUGCAGGACGACAGCUUUGUUGCAGGACAGGUGGUACCCUACCUGAUCCGAGUCUUCGAGGAGCACGAGGAGGCGACGUCGUACCAUGCAGCGAUACGCCGGCGCUCCGUGCUCUCGCUGCAUGCGCUGGCCGUCAACCAAGAGCACUACGGUCUCUCUGACAGCUCUCGCGCCGCACUUGAUCGUCUUCUCCACGGCGGCAACCCGGAGAUGCACGCGGUGCUACAGAGCGCUCCGUACUGUGCCUCGCCCAGCGCAGAAGCUCCAGCCACCAUGGAGGAAUGGCUGGCCGUGUACUGGGGGAUGAGCUGGUGCUGGCCAAAGGCAGGGUGCGUCCUCCGCGUCCCCAGCAUCGUGCACCCGCUCAGCGCGCGGUUGACGCCUUUCCAGCAGAAGGCCCAGUACCUCCCAGUCGUGUACCCGCCAAUGACCUGCAGCCCCGUGUACGGCAGUGAGAAGGACUCGGUGGAGGCGACGGUGCAGCAGUAUUUUGAGAUGAAGGAGCUGGAGGCCAAGCCGAAGGAGCUGAUGGCGUUCCUGCGAACGCGCAAGGUGGCCAAGGAUGAGCUCCUCGAUGACCUCUUUUGAGCUGUGUGCCGGCCCGGUGGUGUUGCACAUUUCCGGUAAAAGGCAGGAGAAAGAAGGUUCUCGUCGCCCGCGUAUUUAUCCUGCAGGCGUGGGUACGGUCACGGAUACAAGUCCGCAGCAGCGAGCCGGUAAUGGGCGAGGAAGAGAGGCAGGUGGCUGAUGUCUUGCUGCGUCUUCUUCUCUCCAUCCCGUUCUCCGGCGAUAUGCAAGUGGAACUCCGAGUAACGCCCAUUCACACACCGCGGUG